AAACACCAUCGUGUUACACAGCCAGCAAACAGUUUACAUGUACACACAAACAUCGUGUUACACAGCCAGCAAACAGUUUACAUGUACACACAAACAUCGUGUUUGUAACCAGGGUAAUUUUUCUAAGUUUUCUAGUUGUUUUUUUUUUCCCCUUCCCUCUCUCUUCAACUGAUUCUGAAAAUUUAAAUUUCAGUUAACAACUUAUAUUUUUAUUGGAGUAUUUCUUUAAUUUUUUUAGAUAAUUAAUUUAAAAAUAGUUUUUUUCCCUUUAACCUUCUGCCACUUGCCAUCCUGWGCAUGAGUUAAGUUCUCAUGAGAUUUCAUCCUAUUAUCGCGAGACUUGUGGCAGAAAUGUUUGUCAGUUCCUCAUUAAACACAGCUGUGGUUGACAACCAGGUUAGGUGUGGGAGCAGAUGCUAUUGUAGCUGCUGCAGGUAGGCUCUAAGGUAUUUCAAUCCCUUUAUUUUAAUGUUUAAAUUAUUGUUUCUGACUGAUAUGCCUCUCAACUUUUAGGUAUUCUCAAUGUCUUGUGCCUAAGCCUUCCAGUGAUAAGUCUAUCAUAAAAAAAGUGGAACUGGCCAGGUUCCUUUUCCAUGUCUGUUUGCUGAGAAGACCAGACUGGAUGGCGAGCUACCUGAGUUUUGAACCCAGAGAACUGUUUUAAAUCCCUUCAUCUCCUCUGUCAAUGUGGAGUGGAACAGCUGAACUUUUGCCCAGCACUAAAGAAAAAGAUAAAACAUUGUUUGGGGAUUUACAAUAACAAA